AAAAAAUGCUAUACCAACUGAAAACCUGCCAAGGACGUCAUGUUAUGAUGAGAACAAGGAUGCUCAUAUGAAAGCUUUCACUGGCAAGACUUCGCCGACGUGCGUGUCGGUCAGCCAGAGUAAGUUAAUUUGACUGCAUGGUGCAGCACUUAUAUGCUUAUGGUACAUACACCAUGCCUACAAGCAUGCAAUAGAUGUCAACACCUUUUAAUGCAUUACAGAAUGAAUCAAGCAAAGAAACUGCUGCCUCCCCAUUAGAAGCAAAGAUGUUGCCCCAUGCACCUGUCAGCACGACCACCAUGGACGAUCUCCCAUCCCCUGACAGCAACGGCAUGGACCAAAUAAGUGACAAAGGAAAUAUGGUAAUUUCUUUUUGUAUAUGUAUGUGUUGUGGUAGCUGUCUUUACCUAGACGGUGGCAUGCUUUCUGGAUUUACAUCGUAAAAGCAUUGUAGCACGUGGUGUGUGAUGGGUGCACAUUAACUGCAACUUGUGCACACAUUGCUUAACAUCUGGUUCCUUGAACUGAACUCUAUCUGACAUUGCAGGACGAUUUCCCAUCCCCUAACAGCAUGGACCAAAGCCUUGCAAACACCAUAAGGGACAAGGACAUAGCAAAUAUGGCAAUUUAUUUUUUCUAUAUAUUUGUGAUGUGGUAGCUGUCUUUACCUAGCCAGCAGCAUGUUUUCUGGAUUAACUUCGUGAAAGGAUUGUGGUGUGUGAUGGGUGCAAAUUAACUGAUGCAAAAAGCCUGGCUUUCCUACUUCCAACAUUGAAUUUAAAACAUUGACGUGCAUAAUUGGAAUGACAAAAAGAAGCUGCAUCUCACGUCAGAUAUGUCAGACAUUAUAACUCUUGCUUUUGUUUUGUGACAGGAAUGUGCUUGCCAACCUGGCCCCCGGACAUUAAUGGCAGAGUACUCAAGAGAAGAAAAAGACGUGGCAAAUUUUCUACUAGAAAUGGCUUCAGGGACAAGGCUUACAGAAAGCAAGGCUGUCCAAGUGACAUCGGAUACUUUUCCACAGAAGUUUGUGAACACGAUAAAUAGUAGCAACGUAAAUACAUUCACAGGCCUGCCAUCAUUCGAUGUUCUGAAUGCUCGUGUGACGUGCUACACAAAAAUUCAUCCACUUUCAGGACGGCACCAGUUAUGUGUAAAAACAAUUGCAUUGACAUUGGUGAAA
rnacentral:lncRNA from 1 species